rnacentral:rRNA from 1 species
GAUGAACGCUGGCGGCGUGCCUAAUAUAUGCAAGUCGAGCGAACGGACGAGAAGCUUGCUUCUCUGAUGUUAGCGGCGGACGGGUGAGUAACACGUGGAUAACCUACUUAUAAGACUGGGAUAACUUCGGGAAACCGGAGCUAAUACCGGAUAAUAUUUUGAACCGCAUGGUUCAAAAGUGAAAGACGGUCUUGCUGUCACUUAUAGAUGGAUCCGCGCUGCAUUAGCUAGUUGGUAAGGUAACGGCUUACCAAGGCAACGAUGCAUAGCCGACCUGAGAGGGUGAUCGGCCACACUGGAACUGAGACACGGUCCAGACUCCUACGGGAGGCAGCAGUAGGGAAUCUUCCGCAAUGGGCGAAAGCCUGACGGAGCAACGCCGCGUGAGUGAUGAAGGUCUUCGGAUCGUAAAACUCUGUUAUUAGGGAAGAACAUAUGUGUAAGUAACUGUGCACAUCUUGACGGUACCUAAUCAGAAAGCCACGGCUAACUACGUG